rnacentral:rRNA from 1 species
GGGGGGGCAAGCGUUGUUCGGAAUUACUGGGCGUAAAGCGCGCGCAGGCGGCCCGGCAAGUCCUACGUGAAAUCCCACAGCUCAACUGUGGAACUGCGUGGGAUACUGCCAGGCUUGAGUCCGGGAGAGGAGAGUGGAAUUCCCAGUGUAGCGGUGAAAUGCGUAGAUAUUGGGAGGAACACCGGUGGCGAAGGCGGCUCUCUGGACCGGUACUGACGCUGAGGCGCGAAAGCUAGGGGAGCAAACGGGGAUUAGAUACCCCGGUAGUCCUAGCUGUAAACUUUGAGCACUUGGUGUGGCGGGUAUCGACCCCUGCCGUGCCCGAAGCUAACGCAUUAAGUGCUCCGCCUGGGGAGUACGGUCGCAAGGCUG